GAAUGCCACGGUGAAUACGUUCCCGGGCCUUGUACACACCGCCCGUCACACCAUGGGAGUGGGUUGCAAAAGAAGUAGGUAGCUUAACCUUCGGGAGGGCGCUUACCACUUUGUGAUUCAUGACUGGGGUGAAGUCGUAACAAGGUAACCGUAGGGGAACCUGCGGUUGGAUCACCUCCUUACCUUAAAGAAGC
rnacentral:rRNA from 2 species